CAGCAGCCGCGGUAAUACGUAGGGUGCAAGCGUUAAUCGGAAUUACUGGGCGUAAAGCGUGCGCAGGCGGUUUGUUAAGACAGAUGUGAAAUCCCCGGGCUCAACCUGGGAACUGCAUUUGUGACUGGCAGGCUAGAGUAUGGCAGAGGGGGGUGGAAUUCCGCGUGUAGCAGUGAAAUGCGUAGAUAUGCGGAGAAACACCGAUGGCGAAGGCAGCCCCCUGGGCCAAUACUGACGCUCAUGCACGAAAGCGUGGGGAGCAAACAGGAUUAGAUACCCCCGUAGUCCCUGUCUCUUAUAC
rnacentral:rRNA from 1 species